rnacentral:tRNA from 4 species
AUUUAAGUAAUUUAAAAUUAAAAUUUUGAUUUGUGGUGUCAAAUAUGUAAGAUUUCUUACCUUAAAUU